UACAGAGGGUGCGAGCGUUAAUCGGAAUUACUGGGCGUAAAGCGCGCGUAGGCGGCUUUGCAAGUCGGGUGUGAAAUCCCCAGGCUUAACCUGGGAACUGCAUUCGAGACUGCAUUGCUAGAGUAUGGGAGAGGGAAGUGGAAUUUCCGGUGUAGCGGUGAAAUGCGUAGAUAUCGGGAGGAACACCUAUGGCGAAGGCAGCUCGCUGGGACGUUACUGACGCUGAGACGCGAAAGCGUGGGGAGCAAACAGG
rnacentral:rRNA from 1 species